UUGCAUGAAGAGCAGAUAAGUCAAACUAUCAUAGUUUGGGCGUGGCCUAGUUGUCAGGGAUACUUAGCUCACGUUCGCAAUGAGUAGGUUCCAUUCCUAUACAAUAUGCCAGGCAGCACAUUGUAUCAUCAAGUAAAGCACUUACUUUGUCGUGCUACUACAGUCUACUAAGUUGAAAUGAGUACAAGGAACUGGUACAUCUCUCUCUCUCCAUUUAGCUGUUACAUUCUGGAUGCUUGUUGAAAAAGUGAGAGAAUUGAGAUGGUGUCCAUGCCUGCUCACAACUACUUAAACACCUAAAAUAGUAAACAAAAGCAUGGUACAUAUUAGAUGGCUGGCUCUAAUAUAUAUAAAGACAUCAUUUAGGUGUUGGUAGCAAAUAUUUGUAUCACAGGGACAUCGGUAUACCUCGUUAGAAUAUAUAAGUUUAUUCUUGAAAGUGCAGACGAAGACAAGCUGUAGCCCAUGCAAGUUUACUUUCUCCGUGCCAACGAAAAGGCAUGGAGAUUUUGGCAUUAGUUGGUAUUCCUGUCUCGUAGCAAAAUGCGAAGAGCCGGAACAGAAACUUUCUCAUCCGAUCUUAUCAGAAUUUUGCCUACCCGUCACCUACGACUGUUACAUUACUUAUCGACCCUGAAAGAAUGAAAGACAAAGUUGAACUCAGGGUCCACAGAGUCAAAAGAAAUAUUGGUUUAAAAUUUUGGCACAAGACCAGCAAUUUCGGAGAAGGAAAUAAGUCGAUUACAUCGGCUCCAGUACUCAAAUGGUACUUAUUUUUAUCGACCCGGAAAUGAUGAAAGGCAAAGUCGACCUCGGUGGAAUUUGAACUCAGAACGUAAUGACGGACGAAAUGCCGCUAAGCAUAUUGUCGGGCGUGCUAACGAUUCUGCCAGCUCAAACCAGAACAGAUAUAGGUUUCAAAUUUUGACACAAGGCCAACCAACAACUUCGAGGAAGGGAUAUUGGCAUCAUUUGCGUGGAAAGCAAGAACAAAAUCUACAGAUGCCUUCGGCUCAUAAGUAGCAGAGUUGCACAUUAGAAAAGAAAUUUCCAGAAUAUUCUAGGCUUUUCAGGAUGCAUAAGUGCCAGAUUUUUUUUUUUGUAAUAAUUCUUGUAACAAACAAGCAAAUUUUGUGCAUUAAAAGUAUUAUGGCAGGAGUUUAAAAUUUAAAAAAAAAAUUAUAUAUAUUUGUUGCUCGUACAGGGUGUAAUUUUAUAUCAGUUCUAGAAUAAUCUAUAUUUCUCUGAAUGCAAACCACUUUACUCAGGUAUUUCAAUUUUUAUUUCGUACGCAUCACCAUAUAAGGCAUGUAAUAUUUUAAUAUGAAAAAUCAUACUAAAAGCAUUCAAUGUUUCCAGAUGUAAACUAC